UGCCAGCAGCCGCGGUAAGACGGGGGGCGCAAGCGUUAUUCGGAAUUAUUGGGCGUAAAGCGCACGCAGGCGGUUUGUUAAGCUAGAUGUGAAAGCCCCGCGCUCAACGUGGGAGGGUCAUUUAGAACUGGCAGACUAGAGUCUUGGAGAGGGGAGUGGAAUUCCAGGUGUAGCGGUGAAAUGCGUAGAGAUCUGGAGGAACAUCAGUGGCGAAGGCGACUCCCUGGCCAAAGACUGACGCUCAUGUGCGAAGGUGUGGGUAGCGAACAGGAUUAGAUA
rnacentral:rRNA from 1 species